rnacentral:lncRNA from 1 species
AAAAAUAUUAAAAAAUACUAAAAACUCUUGUCUAUAUAAAAAAACCAGAAGAAGUGGUAUGAUUGCCAAUGAGACACUUCUCAACAAAAGACCAAAAUGACACAGAAAUUAAUAAUUAUAGGACACCGUACGGCCUUCGAUAAUGCUCAUACCGCAUAUUCAGCUAUAAAAGAACCCGAAAUGACAUAUGUAACAAAAACAAACUAAUGGCCUAACUUAUGUACAAUAAAUGAACGAAAAAACAAAUAUGUAACACUCCAAUAAACGACAAC